ensembl:snRNA U6 U6 spliceosomal RNA
GUGCUCACUUCACCAGCACCUAUGCUAAAAUUGGAACGAUAUAGAGAAGAUGAGCGUGGCCCCUGUGCAAGGAUGACACCCAAAUUCGUGACGCGUUUCAUAUUGUA